rnacentral:other from 1 species
GCAGGGCUGCGAAGUGCGUCAGGAGACAAAUUCCCGGGGCCGAUACGACUCCUUAGGGAGCUGACCCUGGCCGGGAUCGUGGUCCCGGUCACUCGGCGCCCACCUACAUUUCGUAGGGACCCAGGGAAUCACACCUCCGACGGCUUAUGCGGCCUUGCG